rnacentral:rRNA from 1 species
GACGUAGGGCGCGAGCGUUGUCCGGAUUUAUUGGGCGUAAAGAGCUCGUAGGCGGCUUUCUAAGUCGGGGGUGAAAUCCUGGAGCUCAACUCCAGAACUGCCUUCGAUACUGGAGAGCUCGAGUCCGGGAGAGGUGAGUGGAACUGCGAGUGUAGAGGUGAAAUUCGUAGAUAUUCGCAAGAACACCAGUGGCGAAGGCGGCUCACUGGCCCGGUACUGACGCUGAGGUGCGAAAGCGUGGGGAGCAAACAGG